rnacentral:rRNA from 1 species
GUGGGGAAUCUUGCGCAAUGGGCGAAAGCCUGACGCAGCCAUGCCGCGUGAAUGAUGAAGGUCUUAGGAUUGUAAAAUUCUUUCACCGGGGACGAUAAUGACGGUACCCGGAGAAGAAGCUCCGGCUAACUUCGUGCCAGCAGCCGCGGUAAUACGAAGGGGGCUAGCGUUGCUCGGAAUUACUGGGCGUAAAGGGCGCGUAGGCGGAUAGCUUAGUCAGAGGUGAAAGCCCAGGGCUAAACCUUGGAAUUGCCUUUGAUACUGGCUGUCUUGAGUUUGGGAGAGGUGAGUGGAACUCCGAGUGUAGAGGUGAAAUUCGUAGAUAUUCGGAAGAACACCAGUGGCGAAGGCGACUCACUGGCCCAAUACUGACGCUGAGGCGCGAAAGCGUGGGGAGCAAACAGGAUUAGAUACCCUGGUAGUCC